GUAUCGGGUAUAAAAAUCACAAUUAUAAAGGGAGUCAGGGCGAGGCAUACACUGUCAAAAAAAACAAUAUACGAGAAUAAAUAAUUAAACCCAUUUUCAUAUACGUUUCUCCCGAUAUUAUUCUCUAAAUUGAAAGAAAACAACAGGCAUAUAUUUUCAUUAGCUUUGAACUGAAAACCUUUUAAGAUAAGCCGAAGUUGACUUUUUCGUUCAUCGCCUAUAAUCGUACAGCAAAGAAAAACAUAAACAACAUUUUCUUACCUUCUUCCUGGUUCUUCCACUUUUGCUGCAUUCUCUCUUACUGUUCUUUCCUUGCCGUUUCCAUUCUGUCGUUAUAUUCACACACAAACACACACAAAAGCACUAUUAAAAAAAAAAAAAACAGAAACACAAAUGAAUUUUAUAAUUUAUUCAUAUUUUUCUUUCCGCGAUCGGCUCUUUUUGUGCGCGAAUAAUCCACUAAUUUUUCCCGCAAGACGCACUUAGCACCAAAGACGCUCAGCUACAACGGUACAACAAAUGAAACGAGAAGGCAGCAAUUUUUGGUCGAAUAA